GCCUAUAUAUACUAUAUAUAUAUGCUAUAUAUGUAAUAUAUACUAUAUAUAUGCUAUAUAUGUAAUAUAUACUAUAUAUGUAUAACAUAUAUGGGUGCAGGAGUGGCUGUGUGGUAAGUAACUUGCUUACCAACCACAUUAUUCUGGGGUCAGUCCCACUGUAUAGCGUCUUGGGCAAGUAUUUCUAGUAUAGUCUCGGACCAACCAAAGCCCUGUGAGUAGAUUUGAUAGAAAGAAGCCCAUCGUAUAUAUGUGUGUGUGUUUGUUUACCCACCACCACCAUCACUUGACAACUGAUGCUGGUGUGUUUGUCCCUGUAACUUAGCGGUUCGGCAAAAAGUCCGAUAGGAUAAGUCCUGGGGUCGAUUUGCUCGACUAAAGGCGGUGCUCUAGCAUGGCCUCAGUCAAAUGAGUGAAACAAAUAAAAGAAUAAAAGAAAAAGGAAUCCUUUAUAUAUAUAUAUAUAUAUGUAUGCACUACAUAUAUACAUUAACAUUAUAUAUAUGUAUGUAUGUGUAUAUAUAUAUAUAUAUAUAUAUAUAUGUAUGUGUAUGUAUAUAUAUAUACAUACACGUAUAUACACUGUUUUAUUCUUUUACUUGUUGAGCAAAUUGACACGGACUCUGCUUCUUUGUAAGCUUAGUAAUUAGUCUAUCGGUUCUCUUUGCUGAACCGCUAAGUUUCAGGGUACAUAUAUAUAUGUAUGUGUGUGUAUUUUUAUGUAUGUGUAUGUAUGUAUAUAUAUGUAUGUAUAUGUAUUUAUGUAUGUGUGUGUGUAUAUAUAUAUAUAUAUGUAUAUAUAUAUAUAUAUAUAUAUAUAUACACACACACACACACACAUAUACUAUGUAUACUAUAUAUAUAUAUUGAGAUAUGCUUGUGUAGUCACCCUUGCUAGCUACACUGAUGAUAUGACAGUUCUGCAGAUAAUACAGAGCCCUGCAGCAGGAGUUGGAAUCUGCUUACAGAUGGGCUGAGGACAAUAAUAUUUAGUUUAAUGCUGGAAAGUUGGAAGUCCUGUGUGCAAAACUGAAUAUAAAGUUUACAGGGUGCCCUGACACAUAGUGCAUUAGAAUCCUGGAAUCUAAAUCUGUGCAGGACCUGGGUAUCAGCAUGUGAUGAUACUUCUUUACAAGUGCACAUGGCUGGGAUGGGUACAUAGUGCAGACAGUGAGCUUGAUGUAUCCUGAGAACCCUCAGAACCAUAGAGAAGGAAGCCAUGAUGGUCCUUUGGAGGACAUUCAUCCUCAGCUACAAGGACUACUGCUCCAAGCUAUGGUCACCCAACAGUGUAAAACUGUGAAAUUAACAACAGACCUUAAAGCAAUCCAUUAAUGCUUCGCAAAGACGAUUGUUUCAUUGCAACAGCUCAGCUACUGGGAGAGGCUGAAACAGCUAAGUCCCUACGUAUUGGAGCAAAGGCGAGAGAGAUGAUAUGCAGUAAUGUAUGUCUGGAAGUUCCUAGAAGAGAUUGUGCCAAAUUUUGGCAUUAAAAGGUACACAAAUGCCAGAAUGGGUCACCACUGCACAGUGCUAAAGAUCCCAGCAAUGCCAUCACACUUCAGGACCAGUUACAGCAAAUUCCUGGGUUUCAAGGGCCCACAGCUUUUUAAUAUUCUCCCAAAGAGCCUCAGAGACCUACACAAAUUGGAUGUAGAUGUUUCCAAAUCAAAACAGGAUCUCUUCCUGUCGAGAGUGCCAGAUGAACCUACCUCAUGGGAUGAGAUUCAAAUGAGGGUAGCGAAUUUGAACUCCCUUCUUCACCAAAUGCCACAUAUCAGAGGAGGCUCUCAAUGUAGCAAAACAGUGGUGUCCCAGCAUGGCCACAGUUUUGAGCUGAAACUGCUAAAAGAUAUAUGUUCAUUGUAUAUAUAUGUAUAUAUACCUACAUAUACAUAUAAGGUAUAUAUAAAAAAUUUUUUUCUAUAAUAAGAUAAAACAAGGCUGUAUAGAUUUUAGAACAUUUAUAGACAGAAGGUCUUACAGCUGUUUCCAUGAUAUUUAUUAUAUCCCUUCAUUGAGACGGUGUGAGAGGAUGGUUAAAUAAUGGUUAAUUUAGAUAAGAUACAAAAUAGAGAGUGAGGUGGAGGAAAGAAAAUAGAUGUGAGAGCCUAUAUGGUAUAUAUAUAUAUAUAUACACUUACCACACAGCCACUCCUGUGCCUGUCACUAGUAUAGUAUAUGCAUAUAUAUAUAUAUAUAUGUAACAUAUACAUAUAUAUAUGUAACAUAUAUAUAUAUAUAUGUAACAUAUAUAUAUAUAACAUAUACAUAUAUAUAUAACAUACAUACAUAUAUA
rnacentral:lncRNA from 1 species